rnacentral:rRNA from 1 species
UACGGGGGGAGCAAGCGUUGUUCGGAUUUACUGGGCGUAAAGCGUGCGCAGGCGGUGGCUCAAGCCAGGCGUGAAAUCCCCGGGCUUAACCUGGGAAUGGCGUUUGGGACUGGGUCGCUAGAGUGUGGCAGAGGGGGGUAGAAUUCCACGUGUAGCAGUGAAAUGCGUAGAGAUGUGGAGGAAUACCGAUGGCGAAGGCAGCCCCCUGGGAUAACACUGACGCUCAUGCACGAAAGCGUGGGGAGCAAACAGG